ensembl:lncRNA
UGGAAAGGGAGUGAUUGUAAUCACUCUCCCUUUCUCUAUAGUGAUGAGGAGGAAGGUCCCCAGCAGGUCUAGAGGACUCUUCCCCUUUCUUGAUGGCUUUGUCAGCCCUGCUAAUGCAUAGCCCAAAAAAGGCUCUGAAUUUCCACAGGAUUGAAGCUUUAUUAAACUUCUUAGGUUGGACCACCUAGAUGCCUGAACAACAUGAAACCUAUCAAAUAUUUAUCUACAUGAAACUUCUGCUCUUAGUCUUUCAAACUCAAUGUAGUGUUGGAUCCAGAAGUGCAACCCAGUUUCCAUGGCUCACCUAGUGUCUUAAACAUAUGUUGAACUGAUGCUUAACUAAAUUCCAGGAUCGUGUUUUUUCCCUCUUUGCACGCAAAGAAAAACCAAGUACACUGUAAAGACCUUGCCACCUCCAGAAAUGUUCCCGCUAUGUUAUGCCAUGCAGACAGUCUGAAUGCCUCAGUUUCCAUUUUUGAAAGGCAGAAGGGGAUAGGUGUCUUCUGAAGAUGAUGUUAUAAAACACAGCUGUUGAAAAAUUGACUUACAAAAGGAGGGAAUAUUAUAUAAGAAGAAAUUCUUUUAUAUUGACACUUCAUUAAUACUAAAACAAAUCACUCCAUCAUGUUCCUAAGGGAAAUUCAUUUCUGGGAAGCUUGUUCACUAGCUUGUAUUAAAGAUCAGUUUGUUCCCGAGGUAGUGUAGAUGUAGUAGAACCAGUAAGAAAAUGUAUUAACAAUGUCUGAACCCAGCUCUGAGUUCAGGUGAGGUUUAGUUAUUAGAUAUUAGGAACAAUUUCUUCUCAGAAAGAGUGGUAAUUCAUUGGAACAGGCUACCCAGUGGUGGAGUCACCAUCUCUGGAGAUUUACAAGAACGGUGGAAAUGUGGCACUUAGGGAUGUGGCUUGAGUGGACAUGGGGGGGAUGAGUUGACCACGGGACUUCUUUUGUUGAUAAUCUCAGAGGUCUUUUACAACCUUAAUGAUUCUAUAAUACAUCAGAGGGAAGGGUGGACAGCAAACUUCAUGUUUGUCCCAUGCCCAUUGGGUGCUGCUGAUAUGAAAUAGGCUGGUGGAUUACACUUUUCUGCUCCCCAGUGGAUCCACCUCUGAUCUCAACAAAUCACCAGGCUUUCUUGUCAUUCUGAAUGCUCUCCAAGUCUAGUUGCCUUCAUGUUUUCCUUAUGAGCAUAGUAUAAGUCUGUGUGAAUAUUUACCUUCUGAUAAUUGCACUCUAUUAGUCCUCAGGGCCGCAGCUGCCUCAGGAACUGUAGUUAAUUUUCCCAGUGUUCUGCUAUCUUGUAAUUGUUUAAAAGUUAACACCGGAAUAUCAAUGCAGUUUCGUUAUUAACUUCAAAGAAGCCCUCUUGAGCAUGCUUUUAAAAUGUUAAAGCAACCUGUCUGAAAUGCAGUUUGGGCAGCUUACAUUCUGGAGAGCAGAGCAAACUCAUGUAAUAGAACCUACCUUCUUUGCUCUUCUUUCUUGUUUUAUAUUUCAGACAGGUUGGAUAACUUAUUUUGCCCACAGAUUAAUUCAACUUUCAUUUCAUUAAAACAUCUCUAGCUGCUAAGUGAAAUGUAAGAUGAAAUGAAGUCUGCGAGAUAGCCUGUGAGGUCUCUCCUGCAGGGUCAUAUCUCCCACUGAAUUCUAAUCUCAUGUUCUGAAGAGAGCUUUGCUUUUGGGUGGUUAACACUGAAGUAAUUGAGUGAGCAGCGAUUAUUUCAAGAUAACAAUCAGGCAAUGUGCCUGCAAUCCAGAUAGGGCACUAACGAUGAUCAAGACCAUCUUUAUGCAUAAAUCAUGUCUGAUAUAAUAAUUUAUGUCUCACCUACAGAACAGAGAAACAAGAACAAAACCCGAUCUUUUAAAAACCUAUUCUUGCUUAGAGAUUUCUGGGUGGAAAGUCUUUUUUUUUUUUCUCCUGUGGAUCUGGUAGCUAAUUACCUUCUCUGUAAAAAUAAUAAUAAUAAAAAAAAAAUUACACAUUGUUUCUGCUCUUGUUUCAGCUUCCAGCUACUAUUUCCUGCAUUUCUUAGGGAAAAUAAAUAAAUAAAUAAAUAAAUGUCCCUCUGGUAGGGAUUUCAAGACUUACUGAUUGGAGAGCAGUAAGAGCAAUUAGAGGUGGUUACCUAUGUCUAAAUCACCUGUGAAUACUAAUGAUUUAAACUGCUAUAAAAAUACCUCCCCCCCCCCCCCCCACCAUGAAUACGUCAGCUGGUGUGAAUUUGAUCUUAGAUCCAAUCUCAAGGCAGUUUCUACUCUUGAUUCUGAAUAUGUGGAGUUCACUGAAUAUCAUUUGGAAUCUGGUGGUUCAAAUAUUGAAACUGCCCAGGGUAGGUGCUCAAAAUUCCUUUAUGAUGUAAGUCAUCUAGCAGUACUUUGCAUAGCUAAUGCUGAACAAACAAGGGAACAGCAACAUGAUAGUCUUAUUGAGAAGAUAAAAUGGAAAGUUACAUGGCUGUUUUGUCCCCAUAUUUUCAGACCUACAGCCAACUAUCCUCAGUAUUUCUAUAACCUCCUUCUUCAGUGGCCAAGCAGAAUAGAAUCAUAGAACCAUUAAGGUUGGAAAACACCUCCAAGAUCAAUCAAGUCCAACCAUUAACACAUUCCCAUCAUGACCAAUAAACCACAUCCUUCAGUGCCACAUUUCUCUAUUUCUUGAGCACCUCCAAAGAUGGUGAUUCUACCACUGCCCUGGGCAUCCUGUUCCAAUACCUUAGCACUCCUUCUGAGAAUAAAUUUUUCCUAAUAUCCAAUACAAACCUCCCCAGCACAUCUUAAGGUCAUUUUCCUGCAAAUAACUCUGGAGCAAUUAUAUCCUUAGGGAAAUGUUGUGAGAUCUGGCUUUCUUCAGUCUGGAGAAGAUGAGGUGGAGUGCGCUUUUUAUUGAUAUUAAACAGGAAAGCAUACAAAAGACAAAGGCUUUCCCAUGUAAUAGGAUGAGGUGCAGAGGCACAGAAUGAAAAGUAGGAAAAUAUGAUUCGAUUUCAGAGAAACAAAUAUAAAACUGGAGCUGACAAAUAUCAAAACAGUAGAAAAAAAAAAGUGAGAUUUUCAUCUUUAGAGAUGAAACUUUACUGGAAAAGUCCCUAAGCAACAUUCACUGAUUUUGAAUUUGGUUCUAACUUGCAAGUUAGUCGUGCUUUAAACAUGGGGUUUGACCAGACACCUCCAAAGUUCCUGCUGACCUCAAUAAUUGUAUGAUUUUCUAUAGAGAGUUACCUGAUCUUCAUAGAGUUUGCAAAAGUCUGAGCUCCACAGGUCUUAUGUGUCUCCAUCUGCAUCUGAGUAUUCACUGCCUUCAGUGUGGAAGAGCUUCAUCUUUGCUGGGAAUGAGGAAAUCUAGUGUCACAAAGGCAAUUGGUUUCUAAAGUUAGUGUAUUUACUUUCACCUUCCCUUGAAAGAAUUCCUUGAUAGUCUCUCUGAACCUUCCUCUCAUGUUUUAUUCCUCUUAUCAAGCUUCAUGAGGCUUCAAUACAGCCAAUCCCAACUGUUACAGAUUCUCAAAUCAUUUUAUUUAGGAGAAAUAAAAUGCAGAAUGGCAACUUAAAUGUUAAUGAUGUGCGAUAUGGCUUUUUUUAUAUGUAUAAAAUCCAUCAUUGCUUAAUGAUCUAAGUCACUGUAGACUCCUGGUUAAGGUAGAUAAGAGCGUGUGGCACUUCCAAAAUAACAGAUAUUUCAAGCCCACGCGGUAGUGAUUAACAAAGGAUCUUUGCAAUGAGAAAACAAGAGACCAGAACAGCUUAAGGCUUCCCCGCUUUAGCUUAAGGCUUCUCCACUUUUGCAGAAACCUUUUGCUUUUUAGCUCUACUUACCUUGGAAAUGCGUCCCUUGUUGAGGGAUGACAAUCAUUUAUACAUUUUGAGGUUUGGAUGCAAAAUUAAUUUGCUCAUCCAUUUAUAUGUAUUUUGGUGCACGUUGAAUAUUCAUUUAUAGAGUAUCUUAGUGUUGUAAGAUAAUUCCUGGUUCAUUUGCUCAGUAAAUGGAGGAGAAGGCUGACAACUGAAAAGAUGCAGCUACAAGUACAGCAUAGGGUUCUUCUCUAAUUUCUCCAGUUUCUCUUACUCCAAAGUAAAAAUGUGCCUGUAGAAACUAUGCUUUUACCUCCAAUCUAGUGUUACUGUAUACUGUAGCCUUUGUUUACGUACACAUAAAAAGCAUACCGUUAGCAUCUGCACUGAUAGCAGCAGAUUAAGACUGGCAUAAGCCCAAGAGAAGACAUCACGUUGGUAUUAAUGCACAGCAAAGUAUUUCCUUAAGUAUUUUUUCGCUUUGAAACUGUUGGACCAAAACUGUCCAGGUCCAUUUAGCAGAAGACUUCUUCAGCUGAAAAGAAAGAUUUCAACAAGAUAUUUUGUCUUUCUUCAUAGGUCAUAUUUAAUUUAUAAAUAUAGCCCCAAAUAACCUAUUUAGAGGCAAAAAGUAUUUGUUCCAGAUUGAAUAACUGUUUUACUUAACUCAAGACGACGUCUUGUUUCAACAGAAGGAUUCAUUAUUUGGGGUUUAUUUAACCCAAGAAAGUGUUUUUCCUGACUCAGUUUUUCCAGUUUGUCACCUGUACAAAUGCAGAGAUGGAAGCAAGAAAAAAAAAACAACUCCGAAGUUGUAAUACAAGCUGGAAACAAUUCAAAUUUGAUCUCAUACUGCCCUACACCUUUCCUUCAAUUGGCAGCAUGUGUACUGGAAGACAAACACAUUCACUGCUCUGGAGGAGCAUAUGUGAACAGUAGUGAACUGCAAGUUGAAAUAGCUGGUGAGUAGGAAGAGAGAUUUGAAUACCAGCAACUGGAGCAGAGCCAUGAACCACCAGGACUCAAACAUCCAGGUGACAGCAACUGAGAAGACCUGGGGAUUUGAGAGCCUGCUACUGGAUAUCUAAGAUCAGUUUUUGGAAAAAAUGAUGAUGUUUGUGCCUAUUCCUAUAGCAACUUUAAUCCUUAUCAGCUGGACAUGAAGAACAAAAUGAAGCCAUUUGUUCUGUUCAUGUUUCUGGGAGUCCUGUGUGUUUAGAUAGAAGGUGGAAGAGCAUUAUUUUCUGUAUUUGUCUGUGUGACUGGCCAUACAUACAAGUAUAUUCAUAGAAAUGCCUAUCUGUAUAUAGAUAUGUAAAAUAAACUAGGAUGGGAACACCCAUGGAUGUAGAAGCCUCUAACAGAACAUAAAUGAACUUCAGAGAUAAUAAAAGUGCUUCUUAGCAGUCUAAAAGGGGAGGAGGUGGAAAAUAAAUAAAUUAGAAGAAUUAAAAUAAAACAAUUGUGAUAUAAACAGAAAAUGAUUGUGCAAUAGUAAAUCAUCGGCAAAGUAUCUUUCAACUUUAUCCUUUUGUAUGGACUGCUGAUUGCAUUUUUAACUGCUUAUCUCAUGAUUUGAAGGACGUAGUUGCUCUUUGAGUGAGGAUGGUAUCCUUCUUUCUUUGUUCCAGGUGGGAGGCUGUGUCACAAUUUUUCCUGUUCCCACC